CAUAGUUCUCGGGGCGGGGUGAAAGUCCCCACCGGCGGUGAUCGUCCGCACGUCAGUGCGUGUGGACGGAAGCCCGCGAGCGCUCGCCGACAACGGCGAGGUCAGCAGAUCCGGUGUGAUUCCGGAGCCGACGGUCACAGUCCGGAUAUGAGAGAACAGGC
rnacentral:ncRNA from 2 species